GACGAACGCUGGCGGCGUGCCUAAUACAUGCAAGUCGAGCGCAGGAAAUCAUCCGAACCCUUCGGGGGGACGUUGGUGGAAUGAGCGGCGGACGGGUGAGUAACUCGUAAAGAACCUGCCCUCAGGUCUGGGAUAACCACGAGAAAUCGGGGCUAAUACCGGAUGGGUCAUCGGACCGCAUGGUCCGAGGAUGAAAGGCGCUUCAGCGUCGCCUGGGGAUGGCUUUGCGGUGCAUUAGCUAGUUGGUGGGGUAAUGGCCCACCAAGGCGACGGGGCAUAGCCGACCUGAGAGGGUGAUCGGCCACACUGGGACUGAGACACGGCCCAGACUCCUACGGGAGGCAGCAGUAGGGAAUCUUCCACAAUGGACGAAAGUCUGAUGGAGCAACGCCGCGUGAACGAUGAAGGCCUUCGGGUCGUAAAGUUCUGUUGUAAGGGAAGAACAAGUGCCGCAGGCAAUGGCGGCACCUUGACGGUACCUUGCGAGAAAGCCACGGCUAACUACGUGCCAGCCGCCGCGGUAAGAC
rnacentral:rRNA from 1 species